rnacentral:rRNA from 1 species
UACGGGGGGAGCAAGCGUUGUUCGGAUUUACUGGGCGUAAAGGGCGCGUAGGCGGCCACCGCAAGUCGACUGUGAAAUCUCCGGGCUUAACUCAGAAAGGUCAGCCGAUACUGCGGGGCUAGAGUGCAGAAGGGGCAACUGGAAUUCUCGGUGUAGCGGUGAAAUGCGUAGAUAUCGAGAGGAACACCUGCGGCGAAGGCGGGUUGCUGGGCUGACACUGACGCUGAUGUGCGAAAGCUAGGGGAGCGAACGGG